GACGAACGCUGGCGGCGCGCCUAACACAUGCCAGUCGAGCGAUGAAAUUUUAACCGAUCUCUUCGGAGAGAAGAUAAAAUGGAUUAGCGGCGGACGGGUGAGUAACACGUGAGAAACCUGCCUUUCACAAGGGGAUAGCCUCGGGAAACCGGGAUUAAUACCCUAUGACACAUUUCCUUCGCAUGGAAGAAAUGUUAAAACUCCGGUGGUGAAAGAUGGUCUCGCGCCUGAUUAGCUAGUUGGUGGGGUAACGGCCCACCAAGGCCAUGAUCAGUAACCGGCAUGAGAGGGUGAACGGUCACAUUGGAACUGAGACACGGUCCAAACUCCUACGGGAGGCAGCAGUGGGGAAUAUUGCACAAUGGAGGAAACUCUGAUGCAGCGACGCCGCGUGAGCGAUGAAGGCUUUCGAGUCGUAAAGCUCUGUCCUAUGGGAAGAUAAUGACGGUACCAUAGGAGGAAGCCCCGGCUAACUACGUG
rnacentral:rRNA from 1 species